AGGGCCGUUUAGGGUGUGUGUUGAAAAAUCAAUAAGAGCUUACCAUGCGGCUUGAGUAAAGGCUAGGAGGAUCCAUGUGUGUAGAGCUCCUUGCUGGGGGUGUGGUUUCAGGGUGAAGUGCCAAUGGGGAGGAUGAGGGAGGAGGAGAAAUAAGAUGAGGCUGGACCCAGGUGGGCAUUUAUGUAAUUGUCAAAAUCAGAAUUUAUCCGAAGCAGAGUGAAUGGGAAGGGGAGUGUAGACCUGGAACAGGAACUCUUUCUGGAUGCUUCACUGAAGAGGAGAGAGAUUGAGUGAUGGUGAGCGGGAGGAACAAUGGUCAAGGGAGG
rnacentral:lncRNA from 1 species